UACGGAGGAUGCGAGCGUUAUCCGGAUUUAUUGGGUUUAAAGGGUGCGUAGGUUGUUUUUUAAGUCAGCGGUGAAAGUUUGUGGCUCAACCAUAAAAUUGCCGUUGAAACUGGAAGACUUGAGUGUGUUUGAGGUAGGCGGAAUGCGUGGUGUAGCGGUGAAAUGCAUAGAUAUCACACAGAACACCGAUUGCGAAGGCAUCUCACGAAUCCGCGAUUGACGCUGAUGCACGAAAGCGUGGGUAUCAAACAGG
rnacentral:rRNA from 1 species